rnacentral:rRNA from 1 species
UACGAAGGGUGCAAGCGUUAAUCGGAAUUACUGGGCGUAAAGCGUGCGUAGGCGGUUUCUUAAGUCCGUUGUGAAAGUCCUGGGCUUAACCUGGGGACUGCAUUUGAUACUGAUUGGCUUGAAUGCAGGAGAGGAUAGCGGAAUUCCCAGUGUAGAGGUGAAAUUCGUAGAUAUUGGGAAGAACACCGGUGGCGAAGGCGGCUAUCUGGACUGUGAUUGACGCUGAGGCGCGAAAGCGUGGGGAGCAAACAGG